GGAGGCUGUGUCGACUUGUUUUCCAAAGUCCGAGGUACUUCCUGGAAACAUAUGAAAGGGUCGAUAUUCCUGUCCAGAUGAAAACCAAACCUCUGCAAUUACUUAAUAUCUAUGGACUUUCAAAAAUAAAGCAUUUAAUGAAACUAGCUGUAGCCAAAAAAAAGCACAGUAUCACGAGGUGAGGCGGAACCUUCCCCGAUAAAGUGUAGCAGUGGGAGCAGUAAUAAUCCACGCACAAAAGACGUUGUAGUUACGUAGCUGCGUUAACGGCUAGAUUUCGAUAUUUUCAAGGUAGUGGGGAGAGUUUAACUACGUGGAAAAAACAACAUUGCAUGUUUCCGCACUUUUUCUAAGCUAGAGGACGGAGGAGUCUUCCAUUAUGAGCUUUGGCCUAAUUGUAAACAGUGAACUGUACAGCUGCUACACUUCCAGGCUACCAGGCUACCUUUACCAGGCUAAAGGUGAAAAAGACAUUUCCAGGGUCAUGGAGGACUAGAGCUAAUCCUAGCUGCCACUGGGCAAGAGGUGGGGUACAAGCUGUACUCAUCACCAGUCAGUCUUUAGGCCUAAACAUCAAUAAUGGUAAUUAUUUUUCUACAUUUAAUCAGUUUGAUUAUUAUUUGGCCCUUGAUUCACUUUGAAUCAGCACAUACAGAGCAACAUUAAUAAUCAUGUCAGAUCAUGGAAAUCCUCAACUCUCUUUUUUAACAUAGUUUUUGUCUCCAUUGUAUCCUAAAAGAAAUAUCUGUGUUUUGUCAGGACUUUAUAUGGAGUUGCUUGCAUAAUUUUUGAAUGAAAAAAUUGGGCAACAAAGUGGCUCUGAUUGAGUUAAAGAGAUGGUUGUGGGUUAAAUGUGGAUUAAAUGUAACCUGACACACCAGAUGGA